UACGGAGGAUGCAAGCGUUAUCCGGAAUGAUUGGGCGUAAAGAGUCCGUAGGUGGUUAAUCAAGUCUGUGGUUAAAGAGUGGAGCUUAACUCCAUAAAGGCCAUGGAAACUGAGUGACUAGAGUAAGGUAGGGGUAGAGGGAAUUCUCGGUGUAGCGGUGAAAUGCGUAGAUAUCGGGAAGAACACCGGUGGCGAAAGCGCUCUACUGGACCUAAACUGACACUGAGGGACGAAAGCUAGGGGAGCGAAAGGG
rnacentral:rRNA from 1 species